rnacentral:rRNA from 1 species
UUAGAGUUUGAUCCUGGCUCAGGAUGAACGCUGGCGGCGUGCCUAAUACAUGCAAGUCGAACGAAACUUCUUUAUCACCGAGUGCUUGCACUCACCGAUAAAGAGUUGAGCGGCGAACGGGUGAGUAACACGUGGGCAACCUGCCCAAAAGAGGGGGAUAACACUUGGAAACAGGUGCUAAUACCGCAUAACCAUGGUUACCGCAUGGUAACUAUGUAAAAGGUGGCUAUGCUACCGCUUUUGGAUGGGCCCGCGGCGCAUUAGCUAGUUGGUGAGGUAAAGGCUUACCAAGGCAAUGAUGCGUAGCCGAACUGAGAGGUUGAUCGGCCACAUUGGGACUGAGACACGGCCCAAACUCCUACGGGAGGCAGCAGUAGGGAAUCUUCCACAAUGGGCGAAAGCCUGAUGGAGCAACGCCGCGUGGGUGAAGAAGGUCUUCGGAUCGUAAAACCCUGUUGUUAGAGAAGAAAGUGCGUGAGAGUAACUGUUCACGUUUCGACGGUAUCUAACCAGAAAGCCACGGCUAACUACGUGCCAGCAGCCGCGGUAAUACGUAGGUGGCAAGCGUUAUCCGGAUUUAUUGGGCGUAAAGGGAACGCAGGCGGUCUUUUAAGUCUGAUGUGAAAGCCUUCGGCUUAACCGGAGUAGUGCAUUGGAAACUGGGAGACUUUGAGUGCAGAAGAGGAGAGUGGAACUCCAUGUGUAGCGGUGAAAUGCGUAGAUAUAUGGAAGAACACCAGUGGCGAAAGCGGCUCUCUGGUCUGUAACUGACGCUGAGGUUCGAAAGCGUGGGUAGCAAAACAGGAUUAGAUACCCUGGUAGUCCACGCCGUAAACGAUGAAUGCUAAGUGUUGGAGGGUUUCCGCCCUUCAGUGCUGCAGCUAACGCAAUAAGCAUUCCGCCUGGGGAGUACGGCCGCAAGGUUGAAACUCAAAGGAAUUGACGGGGGCCCGCACAAGCGGUGGAGCAUGUGGUUUAAUUCGAAGCAACGCGAAGAACCUUACCAGGUCUUGACAUCUUCUGACAAUCCUAGAGAUAGGACUUUCCCUUCGGGGACAGAAUGACAGGUGGUGCAUGGUUGUCGUCAGCUCGUGCCGUGAGGUGUCGGCUUAAGUGCCAUAACGAGCGCAACCCCCAUCGACAGUUGCCAGCAGGUGAAGCUGGGCACUCUGUCGAGACUGCCGGCGCAAGCUGUGAGGAAGGCGGGGAUGACGUCAAAUCAGCACGGCCCUUACGUCCGGGGCGACACACGUGUUACAAUGGCAGGUACAGCGGGAAGCCACCUGGCGACAGGGAGCGGAACCCGAAAGCCUGUCUCAGUUCGGAUUGGAGUCUGCAACUCGACUCCAUGAAGCUGGAUUCGCUAGUAAUCGCGCAUCAGCCAUGGCGCGGUGAA